AAUGUACCGAAAAUUCGGAAAAUAAAUAUCGAACUUUAGUCAAGUUGACCAAAGUGCGAGGAUGGUACACUUCGGAAAGUCCGAAGGUGUUAAAAUGAUCAAAAGUGAGUUACGGGAGGUUUUCGAGAGCUAAGGGAUCAAAUUCUGCAAAACUGCAGAUUUUGAGCUCUCGGGGACCGAUCCCUGGUGGGAGAGACCGGUCCCCGAACGCGUAUGGAAUGAGACAGCCGAAAAAUCGGCUAAGUCCUGAGAAAUCAGCUCUCGGGAACCGGUCCCUGCCUGAGAGACCGGUCCCCGAGAGACCGGUCCC
rnacentral:lncRNA from 1 species